GUAUCUGUAUAGAUACUGUAUAGAGUAUCUGUAUAGAUAUGGUAUAGAGUAUCUGUAUAGAUACUGUAUAGAGUAUCUGUACAGAGUAUCUGUAUAGAUACUAUAUAGAGUAUCUGUAUAGAGACUGUAUAGAGUAUCUGUAUAGAGACUGUAUAGAGUAUCUGUAUAGAUACUGUAUAGAGUAUCUGUACAGAGUAUCCGUAUAGAGUAUCUGUAUAGAUACUGUAUAGAGUAUCUGUAUAGAUCUACCAGCAGUUGUUUUUGAAGGCUGAGGGAGAACACUGUUAUACAAUUUGGUUAAAGUAUUUCCAAACAGGGAAAUGCAUAAUCAUGUGUGGAGUAGUGUCUUCGAUGUAGCCUAACUAUACUGGAGUAGUGUCCUCGAUGUAGCCUAACUAUGCUGGAGUAGUGUCUUCGAUGUAGCCUAACUAUACUGGAGUAGUGUCCUCGAUGUAGCCUAACUAUGCUGUAGUAGUGUCCUCGAUGUAGCCUAACUAUACUGGAGUAGUGUCCUCGAUGUAGCCUAACUAUGCUGUAGUAGAAAUACAGUAACUGUCAUACAGGUGUGUGGAAAUACAGUAACUGUCAUAUAGGUGUGUGGAAAUACAGUAACUGUCAUACAGGUGUGUGGAAAUACAGUAACUGUCAUAUAGGUGUGUGGAAAUACAGUAACUGUCAUACAGGUGUGUGGAAAUACAGUAACUGUC
ensembl:lncRNA